GGACAGAUGGCCGAGUGGUUGAUGGCGCCGGUCUUGAAAACCGGAAAGGAGAAAGACUCCUUCGCGAGUUCGAAUCUCGCUCUGUCCGCCA
rnacentral:tRNA from 1 species